GACGAACGCUGGCGGCGUGCUUAACACAUGCAAGUCGAACGGAAAGGCCUCUUUCGGGGGGUACUCGAGUGGCGAACGGGUGAGUAACACGUGAGUAACCUGCCCUUGACUUUUUGAUAACUUCAGGAAACUGGGGCUAAUACCGGAUAGGAGCUCCUGCUGCAUGGUGGGGGUUGGAAAGUUUCGGCGGUUGGGGAUGGACUCGCGGCGUAUCAGCUUGUUGGUGGGGUAGUGGCUUACCAAGGCUUUGACGGGUAGCCGGCCUGAGAGGGUGACCGGCCACAUUGGGACUGAGAUACGGCACAGACUCCUACGGGAGGCAGCAGUGGGGAAUAUUGAACAAUGGGUGGAAGCCUGAUGCAGCAACGCCGUGUGCGGGAUGACGGCCUUCGGGUUGUAAACCGCUUUCGCUCAUGACGAAGCUUUGUGUGACGGUAGUGGGUAAAGAAGCACCGGCUAACUACGUG
rnacentral:rRNA from 1 species